rfam:Triticum aestivum genome assembly, contig: Triticum_aestivum_CS42_TGACv1_scaffold_471999_6AL
UAUAUACUCCCUCCGUCCAUAAAUACUUGUCGGCGAAAUGGAUGUAUGUAGUUUUAGAUACAUCCAUUUUUAUCAAUUUCUCCAACAAGUAUUUCCGGAUGGAGGGAGUACCUA